UAGGGAAUCUUCGGCAAUGGACGAAAGUCUGACCGAGCAACGCCGCGUGAGUGAAGAAGGUUUUCGGAUCGUAAAACUCUGUUGUUAGAGAAGAACAAGGACGUUAGUAACUGAACGUCCCCUGACGGUAUCUAACCAGAAAGCCACGGCUAACUACGUGCCAGCAGCCGCGGUAAUACGUAGGUGGCAAGCGUUGUCCGGAUUUAUUGGGCGUAAAGCGAGCGCAGGCGGUUUCUUAAGUCUGAUGUGAAAGCCCCCGGCUCAACCGGGGAGGGUGAUUGGAAACUGGGAGACUUGAGUGCAGAAGAGGAGAGUGGAAUUCCAUGUGUAGCGGUGAAAUGCGUAGAUAUAUGGAGGAACACCAGUGGCGAAGGCGGCUCUCUGGUCUGAAACAGAAGCUGAGGCUCGAAAGCGUGGGGAGCAAACAGG
rnacentral:rRNA from 1 species